rnacentral:lncRNA from 1 species
AGGAAUAAAUAUUUUAAAAAAAAGGGGUUCUAGUGAAAACAUUUCUAAAGUGAAUGGGGCCUUAUGUUAUAGAGACACUUUUAAAAAGGAAAAGUCACAUUCCCUACAUGGUUGUAUAUAGUUUGAAUAUUAAUUAUAAGUGGACCGACCAUUGCUAAAGCCAAUGAUUCAUAUUUCACUUUCAUUGUUGUGGCAUUAUUUCUUGUGAAAUUAGGUAAAAGUGAAAGAAAAUUUUACAUUAAGGUGCAGUCAACUAAAAACAAAAGUUAAAAGAUUUAUCUUAUGCCAAUAAAAUAAAUUUAACCAUUCAAUUCACCUACCAUUUUAGACAGUCAUGACCAAGUUGUCAUAGCCCUACUACAAAGCUAGCUAUAAGAAGGGACCACAUGCAACAUCAACCCCAUCUGGCCAACUUUAUGGGGUUAGAUUUGAGCUGCAACAUGUGGCCUUUAUGUUUAGGGCAUAUGCCUCUUGUGUUUGGGAACAACAUGCUUGACCAUUCUUAACACCAACCUCGACCACAAAUUUAGGAACAACAUGCUUGACUGAACACCUAACUUCAAUUACAUAUGAACUCAUGAUUAGUUAUUACUUCAAAUUUCAUUAGAUCUAGUUGUAACUUUAAAUAUAAGUAUUUUUCGAAAAACUAUAAGAACAAAAAAAUAAGUAAUAUUAAACAUAAAAUUUGAGAUAAGAAUAAAUAGGUGGGAUGCAAGUUUGAGAAUUUUUUU